AACGAACGCUGGCGGCAUGCCUAACACAUGCAAGUCGAACGAGACCUUCGGGUCUAUUGGCGCACGGGUGCGUAACGCGUGGGAACCUGCCCUUAGGUUCGGAAUAACUCCCCGAAAGGGGUGCUAAUACCGGAUAAUGUCUUCGGACCAAAGAUUUAUCGCCUUUGGAUGGGCCCGCGUUGGAUUAGCUAGUUGGUAGGGUAAAAGCCUACCAAGGCGACGAUCCAUAGCUGGUCUGAGAGGAUGAUCAGCCACACUGGGACUGAGACACGGCCCAGACUCCUACGGGAGGCAGCAGUGGGGAAUAUUGGAAAAUGGGCGAAAGCCUGAUCCAGCAAUGCCGCGUGAGUGAUGAAGGCAUUAGGGUUGUAAAGCUCUUUUAACCGGGAUGAUAAUGACAGUACCGGGAGAAUAAGCUCCGGCUAACUCCGUG
rnacentral:rRNA from 1 species